UGAUCGAGAAUUGCGAGUCAUAGAUCCACCAGAAUGCGAUCGCCGACAAAACGGUGGGCACGAUGAACGGAAUCAGCACGGCGGCGCGGAUCAGCGCCUUGAACGGCAUGNNNNNNNGAGCAACAGCGCGAGAUAAAGCCCGAGCGCGAAUUUGAUGGCGCUUGCGACUGUCGUGUAGACGAGCGUGUUGAACACCGACAGCCAGAAGACGCCGUCUUCCCACAGCCACUCA
rnacentral:misc_RNA from 1 species